AGACACUAGGUGGAAGCCUUGGGUUGCAGUUCCACUGCAGCUGCUGACGGCAGGAAGAAGAGGACUUGUGCUUUCAGAAAGAAGAGCUUUUCAUUUUCUGCCUGCCUUCACAUGCUAGAAAGGGAAGUCCAAGCUCUUCUGAUGCGCCAUGGGGUGAGCAGAGGAAUGGUGGAGAAGUGUCAGUCCCAUCCCGGGUCCUCCCUGCAACAGGAUCUUGUGAGCAGGGCUGUGUGCAAUGACUUCGAGAGCUUCAUGGCUGUUCUGCUAACAGAUGCACAAUUGUGAAACAUGAAUAUGGACUGCAAAUCUCUACUGUCAGUCAGCUCCUCUUCCCCUCUGCAUAACGUAAUCCCUAUCUCCACAAUGCCUGCACAGAUAUACAUUUGCAAAGAUGUUUUUCUGGAGAUAGCAUGCACAGCAAACACUCCCUUACUUGUUCUCAUCUCUAGCAACAUUAUACGGAGUUUCAGUUCACAGUUCCCUGUGUUCCCCCUCCUACCACUGAAAUGCAGCCAACUCUGAGCUGCAGCUAUUAAACAUCACACAAGCAACACCACAAAACAGAUUGUGGAAAUUCACAGGAAUUCACAGAAAAGCAACAAAUUGACAGAGGUCUGGGAAGUGAUAACAAAGGAUCAUAGGGAAUGAAUUACUCGUCAUGCAGAAUAGCCAUCAUCUUGGUGUUCAGGUGAUACUAGGAUGCAAGGGCAAGUUUUUGAGGGUGGCACAAGGAGAUGUCACUAGGAGCAGUCAGGUUUCAACAAGGGAGAUGAGCAGGUCAGCUUCCUUAAAACCACUGAGUUUUGUCAGCCUUUCAGAGCAUCAAGGAAAGGGCUGAAGGCAUAAUUGCUUGGGGGUUUUAGAACUGGUCCGUUUCAAGACAGGUGAAGGCACUUUCAGGACAUAUGAAUAAAACAAGAUGGAGCAAGUACUGUAUCUAUUCCCACUUUGUAUGAGUCUGAGAAAACAGCUGGGAGAAAGUUGGAAAGGUCUGAAGGAAUCACAUGUACAAAGGUAUAAAACAGUGUGAACUGGUGUGAUAAUAGCUGUGACAUGGCUAGGGAAAAGCUUCCAGAAACAGUGCAUUUCUAUGACAAGGUCAUCUUCAUGAUGGCCUUAAGGGGAGAAAGGAGGAAAGAGGGGAAGAUCUGCAAUGAAUCAGGGGAAAGAGAAAUGUGUGUGAAGGUAUGUAGCUCUGUGUGUGUGUGUGUGUGUGUGUGUGUGUGUGUGUGUGUGUGUAUAGCACAGCAGGAAUCUCAUUCAGGUUGGAAAAAGCAUUGCAAGUGUCUGCAUCUCAGUUUGCUUACACUAGUGGCUUGAAGAGGGUACUUUGGCACAAAAACUGCACAUGAAUUCUUGCUGCUUUAGGUAAAGUGAUGAGUGGGGAAGGUUGCCAGACACUGUCAGUGAGCAUUCAAUGGACAGCUAAGAAGAAACUGCAAAAGUCUGUUCCCAACUCAAGUUGCAUAGCAACACUAAAUCGUCAGAUUGCCGUUAUGUCAGUCCCUUACAUUAUCCCCAUUAUUGCAUCCGGUUUUAGGAACCACACAGUGGGAUGUUGCUAGCCCACUUCACAGCUGGAUGUGUGACCUUUGUCUCUUGCUGAAUGAUGCCAUGUAAUUUGUUGCAAAGGUGUCUCAAAGUAGUACACCAGAGAGAAAAAUCUUUGACAAUCCAUUAACACAGAGCAUAAGGAGCAAAGGAUGUGCCGGUGCAGCAUGGGGCAGGAGAGGCAGAUCAGGGGGCAUCAAUAUCCUUAAAGAAGUCUAUGUCUGCCAAACUUGUCAGGAUGUGUGUUAUCCCAGCACUUCUCUGAACUGAGUCUUCAUUGAUCCAGUUGAAAGCCUAUAUUAAGGGGUGAGCCACAGUUGUUCAUGUGUUUCAAAUGCUUGUGCUUGGUGUUUGGAUCUCUCCUAUGGACCAUUGCUGCUGUGCAAUUCUUACUUCUAGCCAGCUGUUUACUGUUUUUCAGUGUAAGCACCUUGUGAGCUGUUUCCUGGUGGAGAUGCUGAAGUACUAAAGUAGUCGCAACAUCAUCAUGAUGUGAUGUUUCAGACACUGCCAGUCUCUGAAAAAAUACCUGGAAGUCUGCGUCUCUAGCAGGAUGUUUCUAGUAAGUUGCAUAAUGUCUUUCCUGGAUGUCUUGUGUAGCACAUCAUCCUCCUCCCUUUUUCAUUCUGUUGCUGCUUCUUUUACUGGCACAAGAUCCUGAAAUGCCCCUGCCAUCUCCUUCCAGCCAAGGCAACCAGGGUUGCUGGGUACCAAGGUGUUGCUGGAGUUUUAAGAAUGCAAAUAAAAUGAAUUAACUCCUUUACUGCAAACAUCAGAGUGACAUGGAUUUAGAACACCAGGUGGAAUGAAAAUUACCUUGCAGACCUUUUGCACUGGAUGAUGGGGAGAGUGACUUGAUAAGCAAAUCAUUCUCAGUGAUACAUCUCCUUUCUGAAGAGUGCCUGGUUGUAAACUAUGCCAGCUUUUUCAAGAUCACCACUGCAGAUUAUGAACUAGCAAACAGACCUCAGAAGGACCAGAUAGACUGCCUGCUCGCUCUGUAUAGAGUAAUAGAAUUAUUCUGCUUCAUUAAAACAACUGAUGAGAAAACAAAGAGCCUCAAGAUUCAGUUCCUCAGUUUCUGUGCCCAGAAUGCAAAGCACACAAAUGGCACAAUACCUGGACUAGGACCUACAAGUCACACUUGCUUGAUAUCAAGGAGACUGAGCUUGGACAAAGUCUAACACAGCAGCUGAUAAACAUCCAUGUAUGACAUUGCUAAGGGAGUUACCCUUAACAAAGGAACAUCUCUUUCAAUGUGAAAUAGCUUAGCAGUUCUUACAAAAAAAGGAAUAAAAGCUGUUUAUCUGAUUUUCACCUUUUUUUCUUUUUAGUACUCCCCUGAACUGCUGGAUGGGACACUCCAAAAAGCUUAUUUCCCUCUUCAGGAGAGAGUCUUCUCUCUCUUUUUGAUGCAUCUUGCUUCCCUGUGUGGAUGAGGGAUUUGAGAUCAUUAGUGAGACAGCAGGUGUUGGAGUGGUCACUGGCACCCACCAGCUUUGUAGCUCAGUCAUCCUGAGGGCCACUCUAAGGAGGGAUUUAUCCAAGGGCUCUGCAGAGCAAAUAAGAUUUGUAGCUGCUCUACAUGUGCUUGUGGACAGUCCUGGCAGUUCAGUGAAGGAGUCAGUACUGAAUUUUAGACCGUGUCAGCCAGACUGAAGUGUUUUGUGUAACACUGCUGCCAUGGACUAUCUGGAAGUACAGAUAUGAGAGACUAUUCCAUGGAGCCAAUUCAUGUUUAAUAAUUAAUAUGGCUUUUCCUUUUUAACUUGGGUCUUCUAGUUUAUAGUGGGUAGGGCUAAGGGUCCCCAUUGCAAGGUGGAGGAUUCUUUUGUCAGACUUUACACUAUGGUCAGAUCUCUGUAAGAUUUCUCUACACCUAUCUCUGUCAGUUUCAGUCUGUUACCAAGUACGAUCUUUGUAGCACCUCAGCUUUAUUUGACAAUCUGAGUUUCCUAUCACCUUUGAGAAUAACAUUUGCAGGUUAAAAUGUGCUGAAUAAGGACAAAUGAGAAAUGCAAAAGAAGUGAAAAUAGAGAGGUUUUAAAGAAAAUCAUCUUCUGUCAGCAUUGUUUGCAUGUCUGCUCAAUUCUUAUAAACAUUCAAAGGCUUGAGUUUCCUGUUGCUAUUAUAUGUGGAAAACAAAUGUCAAGACUGCACAUGAGUACUUGCCAUAAAUUAAUAUUAAAUGUGCAGACACAUUUCAUCUCAAAGUGCUUGUACACUCCUCUUGUCAGAAAGCAGAAUAAAUGAUGAUCAGAAUCA